UGCAAGUCGAGCGAACAGAAGGGAGCUUGCUCCCGGAUGUUAGCGGCGGACGGGUGAGUAACACGUGGGUAACCUGCCUGUAAGACUGGGAUAACUCCGGGAAACCGGAGCUAAUACCGGAUAGUUCCUUGAACCGCAUGGUUCAAGGAUGAAAGACGGUUUCGGCUGUCACUUACAGAUGGACCCGCGGCGCAUUAGCUAGUUGGUGGGGUAAUGGCUCACCAAGGCGACGAUGCGUACCCGACCUGAGAGGGUGAUCGGCCACACUGGGACUGAGACACGGCCCAGACUCCUACGGGAGGCAGCAGUAGGGAAUCUUCCGCAAUGGACGAAAGUCUGACGGAGCAACGCCGCGUGAGUGAUGAAGGUUUUCGGAUCGUAAAGCUCUGUUGUUAGGGAAGAACAAGUGCGAGAGUAACUGCUCGCACCUUGACGGUACCUAACCAGAAAGCCACGGCUAACUACGUGCCAGCAGCCGCGGUAAUACGUAGGUGGCAAGCGUUGUCCGGAAUUAUUGGGCGUAAAGGGCUCGCAGGCGGUUUCUUAAGUCUGAUGUGAAAGCCCCCGGCUCAACCGGGGAGGGUCAUUGGAAACUGGGAAACUUGAGUGCAAAAGAGGAGAGUGAAUUCCACGUGUAGCGGUGAAAUGCGUAGAGAUGUGGAGGAACACCAGUGGCGAAGGCGACUCUCUGCUCUGUAACUGACGCUGAGGAGCGAAAGC
rnacentral:rRNA from 1 species